GCGGGCAUAGAUCAAGGGCUAGAUUAUCAGCCUUCCAAGCUGAAGAUAUGGGUUCGAAUCCCAUUGCCCGUAACCCCCC
rnacentral:tRNA from 1 species